GUUUUAAUAAUUUAAUAAAAAUACUGGUCUUGUAAACCAAUCUUAAGAUUACUCUUUUAAAACA
rnacentral:tRNA from 1 species